rnacentral:rRNA from 1 species
GAGAGUGUCAAAACGGGUGAGUAAUACAUCCUCUCGUGCCCAGUCGUGGGGGAUAACGUAGCGAAACUACGCUAAUACCGCAUACGACCCGAGGGUGAAAGCGGGGGGACUCGCAAGAGCCUCGCGCGAUUGGAGCGGCCGAUGGCAGAUUAGGUAGUUGGUGGGGUAAAGGCCCACCAAGCCUGCUGAUCUGUAGCUGGUCUGAGAGGCGACCAGCCACACUGGGACUGAGACACGGCCCAGACUCUACGGGAUCAGGCAGUGGGGAAUUAAGACAAUGGGCGAAAGCCUGAUCCAGCCAUACGCGUGCGGGAAGAAGGCUUCGGGUUGUAAACCGUACAUUGUCAGGGAAGAAAUACUCCGGUUUAAUACCCUGGGGUGAUGACGGUACCUGAAGAAUAAGCACCGGCUAACUACGUGCCAGCAGCCGCGGUAAUACGUAGGGUUCGAGCGUUAAUCGGAAUUACUGGGCGUUACCGGCGUGCGCAGGCGGUUCUAAAACAGAUGUGAAAUCC